rnacentral:piRNA from 1 species
UGCAUUCUUCUACAUGCUGGCCUCCAGUUGU